rnacentral:rRNA from 1 species
CCUACGGGAGGCAGCAGUAGGGAAUAUUGCUCAAUGGGCGAAAGCCUGAAGCAGCAACGCCGCGUGGGGGAUGAAGGUUUUAGGAUUGUAAACUCCUUUUGUUAGGGAAGAUUAUGACGGUAUCUAACGAAUAAGCACCGACUAACUCCGUGCCAGCAGCCGCGGUAAUACGGAGGGUGCAAGCGUUAUGCGGAAUUACUGGGCGUAAAGAGUGCGUAGGCGGGGUAAUAAGUCAGAUGUGAAAUCCUGUAGCUUAACUACAGAACUGCAUUUGAAACUGGUACUCUGGAGUGUGGGAGAGGUAGGUGGAAUUCGUGGUGUAGGGGUAAAAUGCGUAGAGAUAAAGAGGAAUACCCAUUGCGAAGGCGACCUGCUGGAACAUUACUGACGCUGAUGCACGAAAGCGUGGGGAGCAAACAGGAUUAGAUACCCUUGUAGUC